AGGAUGUGCAAUGUCGGGGAUAUUUGAUGUCAUAGCAGCAGGGGUGGCCCUACGUGUUUUGAUUCAGUGACGUGUGACCUGGGCUCAUGGUGGAGUUGACACAGGGCCCAGAUAAACACCACGGCACAAAGCACGCUGCGCCCUGACAUGAACCAACACAAACACAAAAAAUUGAGCUAUAUGGGGGCCCUGAGAUGUAUGCAAAAACACAAGGCUGAACUGGAGAAAAUGCACAGUAAGAAUAAAUGGCCACAUCAGAUAUUCGGAAAUUCGGACCUCCGAUAGAGGAAAAAUGACUGGAACAUAAUGUUGAGUUGGAUUUUUUGCUUGGAGACUAGUGCGGAAGUCUUGUGCCCCGAGGUAUCCGACUUCCCGUCACUAUCAUAUUCUCCAACCACGGCGGCCUCCCUUGAAACAACACAAGAGGCGAAUCUCAUUCUCAGUACAAAAAGGCAAGAUAAUUUAUCACUAAAUUGACACUACAGAUAGAAACACUCACCCAACACAUUUUCCUUCUUGCUCAAACAAAGUAAGCAAUUUUAAUAACUUAUUUAUGCAUUAUAUAUGCGUAUAUUUGUUUUCCGAACUGACAUUUUUUUUCAAAGGUCGGGAUUUUUAAAUCCUCCGAGUUUGCGGACACACACACAUAUGUAUGCCCUGAGGAUGGUCGUCUGACCGAAAGCUUGACAAAUAAACUUGCAAAGGAUUUAAGUGUGCAGACAGUUUAUUUUGAAAUGUUCAAAAAAAUGUCAAACACACACAUGCACACACACUCACACACACCACACACAUGAGCAGUGUGCCAAUGAGACAGUCACACUUUAAGGAAGA